rnacentral:lncRNA from 1 species
AGAUCACGGCCAUAUUAUUAAAAGCUUGCGGUAAGAAGGGGUUUCGUUCUAGUGCCCGGAAAUAAUAUUCCAAAGCCUUUGUAUGCUCUCCAUUGCUUGUGUGUAUAAGGCCUAUGUUAUAGAGUAUAUAACUUCGAUCAUAGGGAUCGAUUUCUAGUCGCGUAGCUUCAUAAUAAUUUUGCAAAGCUUCCGCAUAAUUUCCUUCGGAUUGAGCCAACAUCCGUUACGGUCGUUCAUUCUAUUCAAAAAAUCUCCGUUCCAAAACCGUACAUGAGGUUUUCAUCUCAUACGGCUCCUCCCUUCUGUACAUAAUAGUACUAAGCGAAAUAAUCUAUAGACUCAAAAUAGAAUUAGUCCCGUCUCAUUAUGAACCGAAAGGGGCUGGUAUUUUUCCAAGAAAUCUCUAGCCAACCUUCCCACAAGAGGUUUUUCUUAACACCAAUGAAUUCUAUUAAUGCUAGAGGAAAACGAUAGCUCCAAUAAUUUCUUUGUUCUCAACGCCUCCUAUUUAGAGGAAUUAGCUACUUCAACGAUCUUUGAUGGUUAUAGGGGUAUCCAAAGUACAAACCUGAUGGUUGUUUGUUAUCCCAACCAUUCUUCCCAGCCCUGAUACCGAUCAGGAAAGGGGUAAUUUCUAACAAAGUUUUUCUCUUGUUGAUUCCUAUUUCUAGGUGUAGUGCUUUUCUCCCCUAUGCUGCCUACGGAUACUAAUAGAGUAGGAUUGGCCUGUAAUCCAUACCAUACCAUAUCCUGUAGGUGUAACCUUUCGCUCAAUACUCAAAUCUACAAUUGAAGUAUCUGAAGCCGCAUCAAUCGAGGGUACACGACGGAAGGAAUUGUUAGUUCGCCUCACCUUCCCGAAGCGUGGGUUUGUUUGCUUUACAAAUUUGGUUCUCUCUAUGCCAACCCCUUCUCUUUUUCGUAAGACUGAGGUAUAGGUAGGGCUAAAAAAAAGCAAAAAAAAGAGUCAAAUCGCACCAUCUCUAUAAUAAGUAAAUGCCUUUUUUUCUCCUGAGGUUGUCGGAAUUAUUCGCAAUAAAAUAUUGGCUACAAUUGAGGAGGUCUUAUCAAUGAAAUUUCCAUUUACACGGGAUCUAGGCAUAAUUCCCAACCCAUUCUAUAUAGAAUUGUUUUCAUUCCUUCACAAAAUAACAUAAAAACAAACACAUUCGAUUCUUAUAAUUAUAAAUAAAUUGAUCCAUAUGCUCUACUCUAAAUCCAUAUGCUUUAAAUGGAUAAGAGAGAUAUGGAUUUUCCGCUCAGCUCAAAUUGUAUCCUUUCGCUCAAUACUCAAAUCUACAAUUGAAGUAUCUGAAGCCGCAUCAAUCGAGGAUACACGACGGAAGGAAUUGUUAGUUCGCCUCACCUUCCCGAAGCGUGGGUUUGUUUGCUUUACAAAUUUGGUUCUCUCUAUGCCAACCCCUUCUCUUUUUCGUAAGACUGAGGUAUAGGUAGGGCUAAAAAAAAGCAAAAAAAAGAGUCAAAUCGCACCAUCUCUAUAAUAAGUAAAUGCCUUUUUUUCUCCUGAGGUUGUCGGAAUUAUUCGCAAUAAAAUAUUGGCUACAAUUGAGGAGGUCUUAUCAAUGAAAUUUCCAUUUACACGGGAUCUAGGCAUAAUUCCCAACCCAUUCUAUAUAGAAUUGUUUUCAUUCCUUCACAAAAUAACUUUGAAAACACGAAAUAGUUGAUAACAUAAGUUGUUGUUCAGAAAUAGGAAAGUGGAAUGAAAUCCAGUCUUAGUCAAAUAUUUCAUAUCUCUUCGUGUCCAAGCAGAAGGAAAAGGAUACAAUUUGAGCUGAGCGGAAAAUCCAUAUCUCUCUUAUCCAUUUAAAGCAUAUGGAUUUAGAGUAGAGCAUAUGGAUCAAUUUAUUUAUAAUUAUAAGAAUCGAAUGUGUUUGUUUUUAUGUUAUUUUGUGAAGGAAUGAAAACAAUUCUAUAUAGAAUGGGUUGGGAAUUAUGCCUAGAUCCCGUGUAAAUGGAAAUUUCAUUGAUAAGACCUCCUCAAUUGUAGCCAAUAUUUUAUUGCGAAUAAUUCCGACAACCUCAGGAGAAAAAAAGGCAUUUACUUAUUAUAGAGAUGGUGCGAUUUGACUUUUUUUUGCUUUUUUUUAGCCCUACCUAUACCUCAGUCUUACGAAAAAGAGAAGGGGUUGGCAUAGAGAGAACCAAAUUUGUAAAGCAAACAAACCCACGCUUCGGGAAGGUGAGGCGAACUAACAAUUCCUUCCGUCGUGUAUCCUCGAUUGAUGCGGCUUCAGAUACUUCAAUUGUAGAUUUGAGUAUUGAGCGAAAGGUUACACCUACAGGAUAUGGUAUGGUAUGGAUUACAGGCCAAUCCUACUCUAUUAGUAUCCGUAGGCAGCAUAGGGGAGAAAAGCACUACACCUAGAAAUAGGAAUCAACAAGAGAAAAACUUUGUUAGAAAUUACCCCUUUCCUGAUCGGUAUCAGGGCUGGGAAGAAUGGUUGGGAUAACAAACAACCAUCAGGUUUGUACUUUGGAUACCCCUAUAACCAUCAAAGAUCGUUGAAGUAGCUAAUUCCUCUAAAUAGGAGGCGUUGAGCACAAAGAAAUUAUUGGAGCUAUCGUUUUCCUCUAGCAUUAAUAGAAUUCAUUGGUGUUAAGAAAAACCUCUUGUGGGAAGGUUGGCUAGAGAUUUCUUGGAAAAAUACCAGCCCCUUUCGGUUCAUAAUGAGACGGGACUAAUUCUAUUUUGAUUCUAUAGAUUAUUUCGCUUAGUACUAUUAUGUACAGAAGGGAGGAGCCGUAUGAGAUGAAAACCUCAUGUACGGUUUUGGAACGGAGAUUUUUUGAAUAGAAUGAACGACCGUAACGGAUGUUGGCUCAAUCCGAAGGAAAUUAUGCGGAAGCUUUGCAAAAUUAUUAUGAAGCUACGCGACUAGAAAUCGAUCCCUAUGAUCGAAGUUAUAUACUCUAUAACAUAGGCCUUAUACACACAAGAGGUUUUUCUUAACACCAAUGAAUUCUAUUAAUGCUAGAGGAAAACGAUAGCUCCAAUAAUUUCUUUGUUCUCAACGCCUCCUAUUUAGAGGAAUUAGCUACUUCAACGAUCUUUGAUGGUUAUAGGGGUAUCCAAAGUACAAACCUGAUGGUUGUUUGUUAUCCCAACCAUUCUUCCCAGCCCUGAUACCGAUCAGGAAAGGGGUAAUUUCUAACAAAGUUUUUCUCUUGUUGAUUCCUAUUUCUAGGUGUAGUGCUUUUCUCCCCUAUGCUGCCUACGGAUACUAAUAGAGUAGGAUUGGCCUGUAAUCCAUACCAUACCAUAUCCUGUAGGUGUAACCUUUCGCUCAAUACUCAAAUCUACAAUUGAAGUAUCUGAAGCCGCAUCAAUCGAGGAUACACGACGGAAGGAAUUGUUAGUUCGCCUCACCUUCCCGAAGCGUGGGUUUGUUUUCUUUACAAAUUCUGAUCAGGAAAAAUACAAAAUUAUGUCAGUUAUUUUGAAGUUAUUCUAAUCUCGUACACACACAAAUUUGCAAUUAUUCAUCUACUACUGGAAUUUGGAUUUAUUUUAUCGAUGCAAAUUGGAUUUGGAUAGAAGGGUACAUUCUUUCUAAUAUUUUAGAUAGAAGAAAUGUUUCUUCUAUCUAAAAUAUUAGAAAGAAUUUUGCUGAUUUAUUUAUUGCUAUAUGCAAUUUAUGGAAUUGAUACACCAUUUAAUUGAUAUCAUUUAGCAAAAUGAAACACAGCAUAUGCAUCCAUCUUUUGGCUCGAGAAUUUCACGGGAUAGAGAUAUGGUAUAAGAAAUAGACUAUUAAGUAACUCUAAAUGAAUUGUGGAUACAUCUGUAUCCUUAACAUACUGAAACGAUUGUCAUUAUUCGUAUCAAACCAAUAGCGAUUCAUACAAGCUAAAUCUUCUAAUCAAUGGUGGGCCAAUAAUGCAUUUUUUUGCAUAUGUAUUAAGACGCUUGGCCUGAUUUCGAAAUUGUCCAGAGUUU